rnacentral:sRNA from 1 species
GCACCAACCCCGGAGAGCGAGAUCAAAGGGACUGGAAACAGACUGGGGACUGGCGGGGGGAGGGGGCCGGCCAGCCUGUGGAGUCCUCCCUGAGAAGCGGAGGGCCCGGCUUCCACCGUGACUCCAGCGGCCUGCUUGGGGUUUUAAUUAUUAUUUUGAAAUUUCUGAAUCGAGGUAGAGCGAGAGAUCUCCGUAGACUGCGACUCGCUGGCUCUCGCUCCGAGAUGAUGCAGAGUGCGACUGUCCCCGCGGAAGGGGCUGUCAAGGGGCUCCCGGAGAUGCUAGGUGUGCCGAUGCAACAGAUUCCCCAGUGCGCUGGCUGCAACCAGCACAUCCUGGACAAGUUCAUCCUGAAGGUCCUGGACAGACAUUGGCACAGCUCCUGCCUCAAGUGUGCAGACUGCCAGAUGCAGCUGGCGGACAGGUGCUUCUCCAGGGCUGGGAGCGUCUACUGCAAGGAGGACUUCUUCAAGUAAGUCAGAACGGUCCGUCUCGUGGCCCUGGCCUGUCUCUGCCUCUCCCCAAGCAGUGAGGGGGAAGUUUGCAGCAGGGUAGGCCAGGGAGGGUGGAGAGUCCACUCUGGGAGGGGCAGGUAAAUCCUGGAGCUGAGAGGAUGCCCCUUGUUGAGGUCCCCCUUCUGAUCACUGGCCCAUCACUGCCAGAGGUUCAGCCUCUAGACCUCAUUUGAUCUCUGCAUGGGGCAGGGGUGAGGA